CAAAGGGAUAGCCUCGGGAAACCGGGAUUAAUACCAUAUAACAUUGCGGCGAAGCAUUUCGAUGCAAUCAAAGCUACGGCGGUAAGAGAUGGGCUCGCGUCCCAUUAACCGGAUGGUGAGGUAACGGCUCACCAUAGUGACGAUGGGUAACCGGCCUGAGAGGGUGAACGGUCGCACUGGAACUGAGACACGGUCCAGACUCCUACGGGAGGCAGCAGUGGGGAAUAUUGCACAAUGGAGGGAACUCUGAUGCAGCGACGUCGCGUGAGUGAUGAAGGAAUUCGUUUCGUAAAACUCUGUUCUAUGGGAAGAAAAGGACUGUACCAUAGGAGAAAGCUCCGGCUAAAUACGUGCCAGCAGCCGCGGUAAUACGUAUGGAGCGAGCGUUGUCCGGAAUUAUUGGGCGUAAAGGGUGCGCAGGCGGCUUUACAAGUUGGAUGUGAAAUAUUGUGGCUCAACCACAAACGUGCAUCCAAAACUGCAAAGCUUGAGUUAAGGAGAGGUAAGUGGAAUUCCUGGUGUAGCGGUGGAAUGCGUAGAUAUCAGGAGGAAUACCGGUGGCGAAGGCGACUUACUGGACUUAAACUGACGCUCAGGCACGAAAGCGUGGGGAGCAAACAGGAUUAGAUACCCUGGUAGUCCACGCCGUAAACGAUGAGUGCUAGGUGUUGGGGGUCAAACCUCGGUG
rnacentral:rRNA from 1 species